rnacentral:tRNA from 2 species
AGGGGCAUAGUUCAGCGGUAGAACAGCGGUCUCCAAAACCGUCAACGAGGGUUCGAUUCCUUCUGCCCCUGCUA